rnacentral:rRNA from 1 species
UACAGGGGUGGCAAGCGUUGUUCGGAACUACUGGGCGUAAAGGGCGCGUAGGCGGCCCUCUAAGUCCCGUGUGAAAGCCCCCGGCUCAACCGGGGAACUGCACGGGAAACUGGAAGGCUUGAGUUCGGGAGAGGGAAGCGGAAUUCCGGGUGUAGCGGUGAAAUGCGUAGAUAUCCGGAGGAACACCGGUGGCGAAGGCGGCUUCCUGGACCGACACUGACGCUGAGGCGCGAAAGCUAGGGGAGCAAACGGG